GGAUAAUUUCAUAAAUUAAUUCUCUUAUUUUCUACAUGCAAUUUUCCGCUAAUAGAAUUUCUCUUGUAGAGGAUAUUGAAGAAUAAGAUCCAAACAUUCUGCCCUGGCCAGAUGGGUCAACUGGGGAUAUGAUAGAACUAUUUUGGACACCAAAACGGGUGAAUUUUACUCUAGUCUAGGAUUGGGUCACCAAGGACCUCCUGCAGUCAAAGCAGAAGAACAGCACAGUGGGAAGCGCGUGUUACUGAUUCAGAGCUAGGUAAUGAAGAGAAGACAAUCUCUAAUCAAGGCUUCAACAAUAAAAGAGUAGAUUUAAUUUGAAAGCCCAAGGAGUUCAGAUUCAUUCAUUUCAGCUAUGUGCUAAUGGUCUGUUAAAUCAGAACAUGCUUGGAUGCUGUAUAAAAAAAAUCUAUACCGGUUAUCAGAAGAUGUGAUAGAUGUUCCAGUUAAUGAGUUUGUAGCACGGUAUUACAUAAUAUAGUAUUGAUUCAGUUUGGUUUAAUCCAGUGCAGAUGCAUUAUUCUAGCCCAGC